rnacentral:rRNA from 1 species
UAAUACGGAGGGUGCAAGCGUUAUUCGGAAUUACUGGGCGUAAAGGGCGCGUAGGCGGUCCUUUAAGUCAGAUGUGAAAGCCCGAGGCUUAACCUCGGAAGUGCAUCUGAAACUGGAGGACUUGAGUACGGGAGAGGGAAGUGGAAUUCCUGGUGUAGAGGUGAAAUUCGUAGAUAUCAGGAGGAACACCGGUGGCGAAGGCGACUUCCUGGACCGAUACUGACGCUGAGGCGCGAAAGCGUGGGGAGCAAACAGGAUUAGAUACCCUGGUAGUCCACGCUGUAAACGAUGAACACUAGGUGUAGCGGGUAUUAAUUCCUGCUGUGCCGAAGCUAACGCAUUAAGUGUUCCGCCUGGGGAGUACGGCCGCAAGGCUA